GGAGCAGUCAUGUUUUUCCUAUUUUCCCCCCAUUCCCUGUGCACACAAACAGCAUACAAUCGCAGUUUCAUUCACAGAAGUCAAGGGCUAUGAACACCACCUAUCUUUGAUAUCGUAGAGCACCAUACAGCAUCAAAAGGUAACCAGUUAUUAUUGCAAGACUCUAAAUAGAGCCUUGGAAGCCAUUAUGACUUCACAAUUCAACUCCAACGGCCUUUAUGCUAUGGAAUCUCUUCCUGUGGGAUCCCCUAAAUGACAAAAUUGAAGAGUUCAAGGACUGGGCAGUGACUGGUUGUAGGGGUAGAGCUGCCCACAGGAUGUAAGAAGUCAGCAAGGAGGCUGUCAGGACCACGGACAGAAGCCCCCUGCUAUGGAAACUGGGCAAGAGUCUGGAAGCAUCUGUCCCGAGACUGAUCCAGCAACCCAGUCAGAAUCCUGUGGAAGGAAAGGAAGCAAAGGAAGCUACAACCUCAUAUAGGCAGCAAGGGUUUCUGGAGGACAUUGGAGGACAUUUUGGAGGAUGGUUUUAUUCAGAGCGCUGGACCACACACCGAAUCAGAAGCAUGACCAGGAGAUGAGACCCACCUCCAUGGAGUCUAUGUCUGUGACAACUGUAUGUAAAGAUAUUGAGUCUGGAAAAAAAAUGGGGAUAGGUCCUGCCUGACAUACCAGACAGUGAAGAGACUGAGACCAGCAUUGGACAGUGUGGGCAGAGGGUAGACUCAUGAUUUUACAACCACCCAGUGGGACAAUGGGCCUUGGUACCAAUGGACCCACUGUCAUCGUUUUAAUUCUAGACGUUGCAGUCACAGACAUUGUCUGUCCAGUCACAGUCAUUGUCAACCCUGUCAGCCUUGUGGUGAACCUUCAUCCAAGGUUCUUUUAGGCUCACUGCUGACCUGGCCACGUUCAGGGGUGUCAUUAACACUAGAGCUGGCACUGGGUGACUGAGGAAGUAGAGGGACCCUUAUAGAUACCUUGUUCUUGGCUCAAGUUGCCCCAGAAGGAUGUCAGUGUAGACACUGUACUGUCUGAUGUCAUCUUCUCGUCCCCCAGGCCUUGGUGACUGCUUCGCAUUUCCUGAAUUUUCCAAGAACACUUUCCUUAUUGCAAUUAAGCCAAAUACUAAUCCAUCUUUCAGACACUGUCCCACUAUAUAGCCCCAGCUGACCUAGAACUCACUAACUGAGCUGGCCUCACACUCAGAGAUCUACCAGCUCUGCCUCCUGAGUGCUGAGAUUGAAGGUGUGCCCCAGCAUGCCUGGCUUAGUGUUCUCAGUGUGCAGCCCAGCACAAUGCAGAUGAAAUUAAAAGUAGCUGCUUACAUUUAGAAGCAACUUCAUCAACUCAUACCAUUGGCCCUGGAUGGAUCCGUAGAGUGUUUCUCUUUCCAAGACUCUGGUGUGGGAUAUUCAUCCUCAAGACCCUAAAAGAAUGACCCUAAAGAAGUAAAAAAGGUUACUCUCACAAAACCUAACCUAACCAUCCCCUGUAAACUUAUAACCCUGACCACUCUGAAGGGCAUCUAAAAGAAUGCUAUUUCCUUAAAUAUUUAAACUUUUACUUGUCUCAGUUUUGCCUUCAUAAGACAAAUUUUCCUGUGAGUCCUGAGUUUCUCAUUAAUGCAACUAGGAGGUGUGUCUCUUCUCUCUAAGUGGGAUAAUCUGAAUUAUGAGAUUGUUUAUGGAAAAGAGCUUUCUGACACAUUUGAAUAAUAAAGGCGUCCAGGAAGGUGAUCUUGGUGAAGAAUAAUAUAAAAGUUGGAUCAAA